UUCAAAAACUCUCAUCAAAAU
rnacentral:piRNA from 1 species